GAGUUUUCUUCACUCCUAAGCCAUCCACAUAAGAUGCCACGUCAGAAAGUCGAACGUUGUCGUCGCGCCACGCGUCCCUGCAUUCAAAAUACAUCACUUUGUUAGAUGAAUAUAUUUCUUCGCAUAUCUAUACAUACAAAUAGUAUGUAACUUACACUUUAAUGCACAUCAAUAAGCGCUUAUAUGUAUAUAGAGAGAUCUAUCGCAACCAUUGCAUAUCCUGACAAUAAUCUAAGAUCUUUUAAAACAACUUUUAGUUAUAGUUAAGAGAUAAAACAGAGGAAAUGCUGGAGUUACAAGCAGAUAGUGGAGUAACAUAAGACGUCAUCAUCCUUGCUCAGUCACGAGCACAUCUAACAUUACCGACGCCGCCUGACAUCAGGUUCGUUCUGCUUAUGUAUCUUUAAAACAUCCAAAAGUUGUUUAUUUUUAUCAAUGAAAAGUAUUCUUAUUCAGAGAUUAUAUGUUUGUUAGUAUUGAUUCUAUAGGAUGUUUAGGCAUAUAUAUUAAACACGUAUGUUUACAAAUACAAAAUAAUACUCGAUUUCUGUUACAUAUUGUAAUAGUGGAUAAGACUAAAAAGGAAAAUAUGUGCUUAUAAUAUGUUUUAGUUUUUAGUUUGAGGAAAAGAAAAAUAAUAAUAAUAAAUAGAUGUAGUGUAUUAUACAGGGAUUAUUAUGAUUUUGAAACUAAAACAAAUAUAUAGGAAAAUUGCACAUUUUGGAUGCGAGUGCAAUUCUUAUUAACCGGGUUUAGUUUAGAGUCCAAUAUUAUCCUAAAAAAAAAAUUAGAUAUAAAUUAUAUUUAUAUCCACAAACUAGAUAAUUUUAGUUUUACAAAAAAUUUUAAAUUUGUGUACAUUAAUUAUUGGGGCCCCUUAAUUAUUUUACUUAAUUUUUUUAAAAGUUAUGUUUUGAACUUCAGAAAUAUUAUUAUCACUAUUUUAUAAAUAUAUUCUUAGUUUUAAUAUUUAAAGAUUAGAUGAAAUAAUUUAUAAGAAAGGUCUUCUUUUACUAUCAAUUUGAGAUGUUAAUAUAUUCAUAUUUUAGAUUUACAAAGAAUAUUAAUACAAUUAUCAAAAAUAUAUAUAGUUAUUCUAUUAACUAACAUGUACUAUAACGCAAUAAAAUAAUUUUAAAAUAAUAGUUAGUUUAAUAUGUAUUUUGCUGAUUUAUAAUAUUUUUGUACAAAAUAAUAUAUGGCCGUACAAGUUCUGUUUGUGCAUAAUAUUUUAUAGCCAGUUUAAAAUUUUACGUAAGUAUAAAUAUAUAAUCAUCAAAGCAUACUAUUCCUCCGUUUAUUUGGUGUGUUUUACAUUUGCUUUAAUUUAUCUCUAGCAAAUUACUAACAUAAUAUAAAGCAAAAAUAAAUCCUCAAAUAUAACAUAAAUAUAAAAAAAACAACAACAAGUACUAAUAGUAGCAAUGACAUUGUCCGAAACAACUACAAAUAUAUUUUUAGUGACUAAGAUUACCUCAAAGUUAAAACUUUAUUUUCCACGGUAUUAGAUACUCUCACAUAAAAAAAAAAUUAUGGUAAUUGAAAACUCAAUCUCAUUCUCUUAACAUAAUCACAUUUACAACCAACUAAACAUAGAAGAAAAUUUACACAAAAUUAUAUAAUUCAUAAAAACCGAUAUAUUGAAUUCUGCGCGUAGCGCGGACCUGCCCUAGUUUUAUGUAAUGUAAUGUUGUGAUUUUCAAAAUAAAUAAAUAAAUAGAUAAUACAUAGUUGUAGAUAUAAAACUUUAACAUAUGUUACCCAUUUUAUUUUUGGUAUAAAAAUAUUACAUAAUUUACGAAUUUUAAUCCUUUUAAACGGUGAAUGACAUUUUUAAAAAUAUUUUUUUUUUAAAUAAUGUUUUUUAAAAUAUGUUAAUUUACCAAUUUAAUUAACUUUUCAUUUUUAAUUCAUUUAUUACUUAUGUUUCAAUAUAAUAUUGACAAUAAUUAUAAAAUUUAUAAAAUAGUGUAUACUUUUAUUUUAUAUAGAAUUUUUUAACUAAAUUUAAUUUUACUAUUAUUAUAUUUCUAAUUACGAAAUUAAUCAAUGCAUUAAUUUAAAAAAUAUUUAAAACUUUAUGUUAGAUUUUUCUCAACAUAUUUUCUUAUAACUAAGAAUAAAAUAAAUUUUACAGUUAAAAUUAAUUUAUUAUUAAUACCUUUAUAACUGUUUAGAUACUUUAGGAUUGUUAUAUAUUUAAUAAACUAAUAUAAAUAGUCAAAUAGAUGUAAUUGAUUAUGGAUAUAGCAUGAAUAUUUUAUAGUACUUCUCAUUUAAUAGAGAAAACACAUAGUUAAACAUUAUUAAUGUAACUUUUAAGAUUUUUUACACGACUUUUCAAAGUAAAAUUAGUGAUGGAUAUAUAUUAAUUUAGGGGGUUGGCAAACAUGCUGUGUUGCUAACAUGCUUUUUUCUCUUUCUUUUUUUUUUCUCUUGUUUUUUCCUUAUUUUUCUCUUAUUUUUUCCUUAUUUUUUUCUUAUAAAAUGUAAUGAAGAAAAAAAAUUAAAACUUUUGUCGGGCUUGUAGUAAUAAGUUCCAAACAUAGCUGGAGCCUUAUACAAUUCGGUGCCUAGAACAAAAUUAAUGACAUCCAAUUCUCUUUUUGUGAAGUUUUCUCUGCCCAUUGAAAAUACAUAGAUUUCUAACUUGAGGUUUUGAAGACGCACAUUGGUUGUAACAUUCCUUGGAUAAGUAUGUUCUUGGUCGAGUUGCUUACAUAUUUCAAGGAAGCAUGAGGGAAGUACAUGCUUCCUUUGAUGGGGUUCUUACAAACACAUUUUGUUUUGCUUCCAUCCCAUGAUCACACGGAGCACAUUUGAAAAGAGAAGAUGUUAGCGAUUGUAUGGGACUCUCCGAAGCUAGAUAAGUUUAACACAAUCAACCACUACAAAAAAAGUCUACAUUAAUAGCACAUUGUUAUAGCACGUUUUACUGAACUGCUAUUGUAUAUGAGUUUGAAAUUUCCGUACUAUAUAAUAGCAUUAGAUAAACGCUAUUAUAAAGUGAAACCUAAAAUAACACUUAAUUAAUGCUAUUUGAAAAUUAAGUGAGCGGGAAGAUAAAACCACUGAUUCCGCCAAUAAUUAGCGGAAAAUUAUACUUAAGCGCCAAAAACAUUAUUUAAGCGGUUUCAGUAAUGCUAUCAAAAACAUAUUAUAGCAUUUUUCUAACGCUAAGAAAAGAUAUUUGAACCCCUAAACCCUAAACAUGAUUUUAAACCCUAAACUCUAAAGACAUCCCUUAAAACUCUAAUAUUUUCAUAUUAUAACUUCAAAUCUUAAAAUUAAACUCAAAUUGUAAUCUUCUUAAUCUUAAACUAUAAUAUCCUAAACACAAAUCUUUAAUCUUUACUCAAACUCUAUAUCCUAAAAUCCUAACUUCAUACAUAAACUAUACAUUCAAUACUCUAAAUAAAAACUUCAAUCUUUAUAUCAUAAAAUACUAAACUUUGUUUUAAACACUAAACUUUAUUUGUAUAACUUAUAUCAUAAAACUCUAAGUUUAUUUUAAAUUUCAAACUCUAUAUCUAACCUUUUAACCCUAAUUAAUUUCUAACUCUUACUUACAAAAGUAACAAAAUAUUAAAAGCUUCAAAUCCUUAUUAAAUUUAUAAAUAUUCAAACUUUUUUUAAAAAAAGUUAAUUUCAUACACUAUAUCCAAACUUUAACCUCAUAUAUUAAAUUUAAACUCAAAAUUUAAUAUUAUAUCCAAACUUCAACCUCAUAUCUUAAAUUUAACCCCAAUAAUUCAUACUAUAACCUCAUAUCUUAAAUUUAAACUCAAAAUCUAAUCUUUUUAUUUUAAAUUAUAAUUCUCAUUCCCCAAAUUGUAUACCCUCUAUCAUAAACAUAACUUUUAAAGUUCAAAUUUUAAUAUUUUGAUUUUCAUAUUAAAAAAAUUCAAAAGCUUGAUAUAUAAAUUUUAUAUUAUCUAACAUAUAAAUUAAAUAGAACUAUAAAUCAAAAUUUUAUAUCACUUUACCAGUAAAAAAAUCAACUAACAAAAAAAAUUGUCAUUGACCAAUGAUAUCAAAGUACUCAGAUCACAAUUUCCACCAUUGGAUUAGAUUAAUCCAACAGACCAAAUCUAAUCACGCUUUAUCUUUCCCUUUCCUCUCUAUUUUCUUCUUCUACGACAUUCACUCUCUUCACUUCUUCUUCUUUCUUUUCUCAUUAUCUAUAUGGUUCACAUCUCCUCUUCUAUCUCUCUGCACAUCUCUCUCUAUCUCUAUCAAAAAUUUCUCUCAAUUUCAUCUCCUUUUCACCACCACAACCGCCGACCUUCAUGUUCAUCACCACCACGCUCUUUUGAUUACGUCGCGUUCUUUACCACCAUCUUCACUGUCACGCUCGUCACCAUCACCACAGGUCACCUCUCUCUCUGUCUCUGUCUGUCUCUCUCUCUCUCGCUUCUCCUCUCAUCUUUCUAUCUUCUCCUCCAAUCGGUUUUGUUUUUCUUUACAGAUCUGAGAAGGAGCAGUGACAAAACAGAAAAGAGAAGUAGUGGUGUGACAGAGCGGCAUCUCCGGUUAAGCGUGGUGCAAAAGCCGGUGGUUUGUUGGCGGUUCGUGGCUGAAGCUCUGUGAAGGUGGCGAUGGUGGCUGAAGCUCUGUGAAGCUGGCGAUGGUGGCUGAAGCGUCAAUUGGGUUUAGAUUUAGGUUUAGUUAAUCAAUUGGUUUAGUUAGGUUUACAUUAAGUAAUUGGUUUAGUUAAGAUUAGAGUAAUAUAUUUAUGUAUUAUUGGUUUAGUUUUGUAAACCAAAAUUUAUUGUAAACUAAAUUUAAUUUAUGAAUAAAAGUUAUUUAGUUGACCAAAAUUUUUUUAUUUCAUUUUUAAUUAUAAAACAAUUUUAGUUUAUUUUUAAUUAUAAUUAUUUUUAGUUUAUCGAAAGACCUAUAAUAACACGAAAGAAAGACCUAUAAUAAUACGAAAGUAGUGUUAAUAGUUAAGCUAGUAAUAUCAUCCAAGUAUUGCUAUCAUUGCUGUAUAUUUCGUAACGUUAAAAAAAUGUUAUCGUAAGAGGGGUACCUAUGAUGGCUGCCGUAUACAUAGCAUUUAUGAAUUCGCUAUUAAACAUUUAAUAUAGCAUAUUUCUCGCGCUAACAAUGUACAUAUUUCUUGUAGUGAACUACUUAAUAUCUUAAACUUUAACAUGAUAUUAUAUGCAUUAAACAUACCGUGUAGUGGAGAGGCAAUACAUGUCAGAAACAUCAUCAUCAUCAUGACGGUUGCAAUUGUUGCAUUCAUCUUACACUUCCAAGAGAAAUCUUCUUCUCUUUCUUUCUUUCUUAACGUUCUUAGUAUUGGUAAGAAUGAUCACUUUGUGUUGAAAAGAAACUAGUGUUUUAAACAUAUAAAAAGUUAAAGAAGUUGGUAAAAUGGUAAUGUUUGAGAGAGUUGUGUGGUUCAUUAACUAUGCUUCGUGUAGUAUUCACCAUUCCAACACUCAACUUCUACUAGGAUGUUUUUGUUUUGUUUUAAUCCUUGGACAACAAGAAAGUGAUGUUUUACUCUAAAAUUUGGAUUGCAUGUAAAUCUUUUGGUUAGCAUGUAACCGAGAUAAUGAAGUUGUUCUACAUGCCAAAAGUUUUUGUUAAAUAUUCUAUGUCAUGACUAAGAUGGAGGAGAUGAAAAAACCUCAUGAAUAUGAAAGGAACUGUCUAAUGUUGAAAGACAAGUUGUAGCAGAGACUGUGAUAGGUUAAUGUGGUUGUGUUGUUCCUUCCAUCAUGCCACUCAAACAUAAAGAUUAUGUUGUGAACAUAUUGCUAACAUGCUUUUUUCUCUUUCUUUCUUUUUUCUCUUGUUUUUCCCUUAUUUUUCUCUUAUUUUUUCCUUAUUUUUUUAUUAUAAAAUGUAAUGAAGAAAAAAAAUUAAAACUUUUGUCUGGCUUGUAGUAAUAACUUCCAAACAUAGCUGGAGCCUUGUACAAUUCGGUGCCUAGAGCAAAACUAAUGACAUCCAAUUCCAUUUGUGUGAAGUUUUCUCUGCCCAUAGGAAAUACAAAGAUUUCUAUCUUGAGGUUUUGAAGACGCACAUCGGUUGUAGCAUUCCUUAUUGCUACACUCUCUACAUGAUCAUUGGAAGACUUCAAGUACUCCGUCAAACCUUGGAUAAGUAUGUUUUUGGCCGAGUUGCUUACAUCUUUCAAGGAAGCAUGAGGGAAGUACAUGCUUUCUUUGAUGGGACUUUGGGUUUGCUUCCAUCCCAUGAUCACACAGAGCACAUUUGAAGGAAGAAGAUGUUGGCGAUUGUUUGGGAUUCUCUGAAGCUAGAUAAGUUUAAAACAAUCAGCAACUUAAUAUCUUAAACUUUAACAUACCGUGUAGUGGAUAGACAAUACAUAUGAGAAACAUCACCAUCACCAUCAUGAUGAUGGUUGCAAUUGUUGCAUUCAUCUUACACUUACAAGAGGAAUAUUCUUCUCUUUCUUUCUUAACGUUCUUAGUAUGGGUAAGAAUGAUCACUUUGUGUUGAAAAGAAACUAGUGUUUCAAACAUAUAAAAAGUUGGUCAAAUGGUAAUGUUUGAGAGAGUUGUAUAAUUCAUUAACUACGCUUCUUGUAGUAUUCACCAUUCCAACACUCAGCUUCUACUAGGAUGUUUUUGUUUUGUUUUAAUCUUUGGACAACAAGAAAGUGAUGUUUUACUUUAAAUUUUGGUUGCAUGCAAAUCUUUUGGUUAGCAUGUAACCGAGAUAAUGAAGUUGUUCUACAUGCCAAAAGUUUUUGUUAAAUAUUUUUUGUCAUGACUAAGAUGGGAGAUAUGAAGAAAGCUCAUGAAUCUGAAAAGGAAAUAUUUACUGUUUAAAAACGAGUUGUAGCAGAGACUGUGAUAGGCUAAUGUGGUUCCUUGUGUUGUUCCUUCCAUCAUGUCACUCAGAGAAAUGGACUUCUUCCAGCCAGAGUAUAGCAAAGGAAGAUGUCAUGUCAAGCUGUCCAAACUCUCAAGUAAACAUAAUCUCACAAUCAAGUAAGAUAGACGCAAGGCUUGACUCAGUCACUUUCAUCAGUGAAACAAACCACCAAUUCUUACACAUCUUUCGGUUCAUGAGAUGUUGCAUCACCAUUCUCACACGUUUCAGAAAAAUCUGCAUUCACUGAACAUUUAGUGCAUUCACCAGAUUGUUGCAGUAACCAUACGUUUUUGACUGCUCCAUCAGACUCAGUGUUUGCAUCAAUCUCCUUGUAAUUGGCCAAAGAGAAGCCUCUGUAUUUGCACAACAGGAGCUUUGAGUAUUUGAUGCUUUGUAUCAGAUUGUUCUUUCAUAUCUACACUGCUAAAAUUACCCGAGAGUUUCAACCAUAGUUCCAGACAGUUGUCUCCAGAGAUAUGUAUAUUAUUAAACUCAGAACGAGACCAACCCAACCACUCUAGUUCUGAAACUGCUUGGUGAUAAUCUGUCUUGUUACCCCUCAUCAUCGUCUCUCUGUUGCCCAAUAUUCAAAAUGGAACACGCUCUAAACAGUACAGGACACCAACGAGAUAUAGAAAACUCUCAUUGUGCCCAAGAAGAGUAUGGAGAACUAGUUGUACAACCCUGAAACAAUUUGGUGUUUCCUGUAUCUCCAUUUAUGUUGUCGUCACUUGGAAGUUUCCCUUCCUCAAAGAGAAACCGUGUCAUUAAUAAUGCAUCUUUGUCAUGUUGAACUCUGCCUAACUGAGCACCCAAUCUAACUUCAGACUCCUGCCACGGUUGGAACAAAAGCUCCCCAUACGUAUGUAGAUAAUUGUAACAGUCAUUGACAGUCCAACAACAACAUUCGUGACAUGUAGUUGUCUUUGAAUAGAGUGACGAAGCAUUAGUUUCUGUUACGCUUUCACUAAGAUCAUGCUGCUGUGUAUUCAAAAUCUUGAUAUAUAAAUUUUAUAUUAUCUAACAUAUAAAUUAAAUAGAACUAUAAAUCAAAAUUUUAUAUCACUUUACCAGUA
rnacentral:lncRNA from 1 species